rnacentral:rRNA from 1 species
UUGAUCCUGGCUCAGAAUCAACGCUGGCGGCGUGCCUAACACAUGCAAGUCGAGCGAGAAAAGGUAGCAAUACCCUAGUAAAGCGGCGCACGGGUGAGUUACACGUGGAUAACCUGCCUCGAAGUGGGGAAUAACCCCGGGAAACCGGAUCUAAUACCGCAUAACCUGACGAAAUCCGUGGAUAUUGUCAGUAAAGGAGUAAUUCGCUUUGAGAGGGGUCCGCGGCUGAUUAGCUAGUUGGUGAGGUAAUGGCUCACCAAGGCCACGAUCAGUAGCCGGUCUGAGAGGACGGUCGGCCAUACUGGAACUGAGACACGGUCCAGACUCCUACGGGAGGCAGCAGUGGGGAUUUUUUCGCAAUGGGGGCAACCCUGACGAAGCAACGCCGCGUGGGUGAUGUAGUAUUUCGGUACGUAAAACCCUUUCGACGGGGACGAAACCGCAAGGUUUACGGUACCCGUAGAAGAAGCCCCGGCUAACUCCGUGCCAGCAGCCGCGGUAAUAAGGU